CUGGAAAUAUCAUUACCCAGCCUGCCACUGGCCUCCUCGGUUUUCCGGUUUGCUUGAACUCGGAUCCUCUCCCACAGCCUCAGGGAGGACGGCAGGGGUUCAGCACGUCCGUUACACAGACCAAGAAACUGAGGUGCAGGCAGGGCUGUCACCGACCCGGGUCACAGUGCUGGGACAGCGCCGCCUGCGACCCCGGAGACCAGAGGGGCGUGGCGAGGGGCGUGGCGAGGGGGCGUGGCGUGGCGAGGGGCGUGGCUCUGCAGCUGCAGCCGCUCCCAGACACGUGCGCACCCGGAACCUGCGGGGGAGUCCCCACGACCCACAGCGCUAGCGCCAGACUCGCUUGCUGCUGGGGAAAACACCGGAAUCCAGGCCUCCAGCAUUUAAAGCCUGCGUGGGCCACCACCCCACGUAAAGGCUGGGAGGGGCGCAACAAAGACCUCCCCCCCCCCCACGCACACGUGGCUCAGUGAAAACUGCGCGAUGGCGCUGACUCCAGUCCUGGUGUCCCCGAUGCCCAGCUGCUCGGCCCGGAACACGGAGGAAGACACAUUGUGCAGCUCACAGAUGCCAAAACAGGCUCAGAAGAGAAAUUAGUAGCUCGAGGCCAUGGGCGGGAGAGGCAGGAGCCAGGGCAGGGACGGGUGCUUUCUGCAGCUCCGAAGGCCUCUCCCAAGUGUCCGAAUCGCGGAGGCUCGUUGGCUCUCAGCAUCGCUGCAUCCAUCGCUGUACCCUCCGCCAUCUCCGUGGAUCCGAUUCUGGUUUUGCUCGGGCUUCUCUGCCUUCCUCCGUCUCUUGAUCACCGUUCCUGCCUGUCUCCGCCCUGUCUGGUCUCUCGCUCUCUCUUUCCCGGAGCUGCCGAGCUGGGGGUGAAAUCCGAGGUUCCCCACCUCCACAGGCACCACGGGCCUCCCUCCAUCCGCGGGGCAGGGCGGACCUCCCUCCCGCGUUCCGCAUCCUCCUGCAGGAGAGGAAUUUGCAAGACCAGAGGAAUGCCCCAGACUCCCUGAUGCUUCGGCCCGAGUACUUGGGGCGCCCCGAACCCACUGCAGAGCCGAGCCCCUCGCUGUGGCCCGGCCAGAAGCCUCGGCGAGGGCUGAACCCACAGUUUCUGAGCUGGAGAACAGCGUGCCCAUUUUAAAGCCAACAAACCGAGGCUCAGAAAAAAAUGGCUUUCCGCCUUCAGCUGGUGACACAGCUUGAAGCCGGGUCUGUUUUCUUCUCUGAGAGAUCUGAGGUCCUUGACAUUUGAUAAAUUCAUGGAAAUACUGGACAGUUUUCAAGGCUCUCAAGAAGGUGGGCAGGAGGAGGGGAGGAGUGUAGUUAAGUGCUGGACCGCAAACCCAUUUCGUGGAUUGGGGGCGGGGUUAGGAGGCGGUUCCACCGAAUACCGCCAGCAUCCGAUGUAUUUUAACGCAUCUCGUCUUUUGAAAGCGCGAUGAGACCGCUCUCAGGAGUGAAAAGAGCAGAUUUCGGAGGUUCAGACCCACCUCCGUCCAGAUCCUGGCGCCACCACUAACUAGCUGUGUGACCCUGGGCAAGACACUUAACCUCUCUGAUUCUGUUCUCUCAUCUGGAAGGGGAAAAAAAGCCUAUAAUAAUACCUAUCUCCCAGGGUAGAAGGAUUAAGUCGGAUAAAGUGUGUGAAACCUCUGACAAGAGGCCUGACACCCAGCUCAAUAUAAGUCAAUUCUCUUCCUCCCAUUCCGUCUGACCCCUGCCGCUCCAGGCCCUUGCCGGAACUGAGAUGAGGCCCUCAGCGGGCUGGGCAGAGCCUGGGGGGAGAAGGGCGAGCCUUCUCCAGCCCGGGGUGGGCAGCGGCAGGAUGGAAGACGCUUGGUCGGCCCCUGGAGCCUCAGGGUCUGCCUGACAUCUCCAGGCUUAAAUAACCGUGCGCCUUUGUUAUUCGUCGGCAGCAAAGUGGUUCGUUACGCCUGAUUGGUCUAAUUGCUUUGAAAUGGGA
ensembl:lncRNA